AUUAAAGAUGUUUAUAAGAUCAAAGAAGGGGAAAAAGAAAUUAGUAUACUAUGAUAUAAAAAAAGAAAUGAACAUACUUCAUGACACACAAGAUUGAUGAUAAAUUAUCAAAGAAUAUAAUGUUUCACAGCAAGGUUUUAAAUAAUUAUAAUUGAAACAUUAUACUUGUGCGUACAAAGUAAGUAGAUGAAACGCGUGUAACGCAUAUAAUUCUAGUCAAUAUGGAAUAUAUUUAGAAAUGUAAUAUUUAUGGACUCAAUUGAAGUCUUAAUAUAUAAAAUAUCUGUAGAAAGAUGCUGUGCAAAGUUGAUUUUGGUGUAAUGAAAUAUAAUAAUUUAUAAGAAAUAAAAGAGAAUGAAGAGAAACACUAAAUGGGCAUUUGUUUGAUCAGUUGGAUAAAUAUAUUUAUAAAAAAAUGAAAAAAUACCGAUUAUGUUUGGUGUCAUAGGUUGUGGAUUUUGCAAAUAAGACAUUACAACAGCAGAUAUUGAUAACAUGAAAUUGCUAAGGAUAUGUUUAGUACCAUCACUGACUCUAGAAUUGGCAAAACUAA